UCGGAUUCAUUAACCACUGCGCCAUGACGGGAACUCCACAAACUCUCCUAAUGCUCCUCAUCCAGAAUGUGUCUCUAGCCAAGAAACCUACCUACAAAGAAAACGCCGGCGGGAGGGCGAGGGGUCUUUGUAAAAUGUGGGCCGUAGUGAGAAUCUGUAUGCAGAGAAAAAUGGCAAUUGUGAAAACCCUAUCUGCAGCCUGAACUCUGGCUUAUGAUCCUGUAACAUUUCCAGCAAUAAUGUUGGGGGAGGAAAGAGAGAUGAAAAUGAACUGAACUUUAUCGGGGGAUCGCAUUGCUAUGAGUACGGCUCCUUUUGCUAAAAUACAGAAAAAUCUAUAAUAAGGAUUUGUGUUGUCCUAAGGGGAAAAAAUGUGUGAAAAAGGAACCUUAAAACAUGGGAAAACUUUUAGAUGCUCUAAGACAGAGUUUGUUUCCCCCGAAAGAGUGGGGGUGUGUAAAUAGCUCCCUGAAAGAAAAGACUUGUGUCAUUAAUCAGAGCUUCCCAGCGUGCUCUGGAGGCCUCACGGCCUUGGGACCAGGAACAGGAGGCGAGGCGGGGAAGUGGCCUGGCCUUGACCUCCAGCAGGGGUGGCAGUAUGGCAGUGAGUGCACUCCUUGGAAUCCCGCACAAGCAAACAGGCCUCCUUUGUCCUCCCUCUCCCCCGACCCACAUCCAAGGCUUUGUUUUUGUUUUACGUGGUGGCAAGACGGGCAGACGGAGCGGCUCCUGCAGGCGCCUUUCCCUCCAGCCCUCCCAUUGCACCGACUAGGACACUGAGGUUCAGGGAGCCACAGGCAUUUGCCCUGGAUGCCACGAAGCUGCAGAGGCCAAGCUUGAGAAAAUGACCACAAUGCACACCCCUACGCUGGCCCCCAUUUCCAUGGGGAUUUGCUUCCGCCUGGACUGCAGUAUGUUUCACCGAGGGCUUCACCCUCCCCUGGAGUGGCCGCUGACCCCCUUUAAUGAGACACAGAGGCGCUCAGCUCCAUACUGCUCUCCCUGCGUCAACCCUACCUGGCUUCUCUCCCAGGUGGGUGACACUGAGAGGUGGUUUAUGCUGACACCCUCUCUGCUGACAGCCCUCAGGCUGGGUGACACCCUGGUCCUGGGCCCGAGCCCAAUCCUGUUGGGGGCUGGCCUGGGCUGGCUGGGUGGUGAGGCAGCUGUCCACAGGCCAUGGCACACUGGCCAUCAGGGAGUUAACAGAUAGCACAGAAAGCAUUUUUCUCGGGCCAAGCUAGCAGGUGAGAAUGCCUGGGGGUGGGGUUGGAGGAGGAGGAGGGAGAGGAGAGGACACAGGGCAGGGGCAGGGGUGGGGGGAGAAAGAGGGCAAGGGUCAGGGGUCAGGAACCAGGGGCCCUGGGGAUCUCAGAGACUGAGGAAGUGAAAGCAGGAGCUGGCUGCAAAAUGUGUCCUGGAUGGAGGGCUGGGGAGUGGGCGGCCCAGGUCCGACAGCAGUGGAGGAGCAGGGCAUGAGGUCCGCUGACUGCAGAGGCCCAGCCCUGCCCAGCGACUGCAGCUUCCCCCAGGGCCUCUGAGCACAGGCGCCACAGAACCACUAACUGCCUGGGCCUGGAAGGCGGAUCUCAGGCACUGUGUGCAGGACCCCGAGAUGAGCCCCUUGUCCACGCGCUGUCCGUAGCGGCCCUCGCUGGCCUCACAGACCAGGCUUUUCUCUGCGCCCAGGAAGUAUUAAUAAAAAGAAAUCACUGCGGAGUUCCCAUUGUGGCUCAGUGGGUUAAGAACACAUCUGGUAUCCAUGAGGAUCCAGGUUCGAUCCCUUGCCUCGGUUAGCUUAAGCUGGGUUAAGGCUCUAGCAUUGCUGCAAGCUGUGGUGUAGGUCGCAGAUGCAGCUCAGAUCCUGCAUUGCUGUGGCUGGGGCUGUGGUGUAGGCAAGCUGCAGCUUUGCCCCCCAGCCUGGAAACCUCCCUAUGCCGUGACUGCAGCCCUGAAAAGGGGGGAAAAAAAAAAGAAAGAAAGAAAAGAAAACAUUGCUUUGGUUGCUUUGGGAGCUCAAAGGGGAGGGAACCCUUUGCUUCCUGACCUGCUCUUAGAGUUACAGCUCCACAAACCAUCCAGAGUCUCCCUUGGGGGAUGGUCACUGGAUUCAUGAUCUGGGGGCAGGAGAAGGAAGAGCUGUGGGUGGGCUGGGCCAAAGCUAGGUGACCACAGAGGGCAGACUGAGCCCAGGGCCCAGGGCCAAGGACACGGGUUGGGUGGGCAGCUCUGGGCUGGGAGUGAGAGUCGGGCACAGACUAUGCCUAGUUGGGGGCUAAGAGGUGUCCCAGGCUCUGGUCCAGGCCAGAGUGUGCCAGCAGUGGGACACAGCACUGCAGGAGGGCUGCAUCGAGGCCUGGGCCUGGGGGAGCCCACACCGGGGUGGAGGAGACGCAGAGACGCAGUGGAAUCCUAUUAGGAGAGAAACAGAAACCAUGAGAGCCAGGUAUCCACUCUGUCUGCAUGUGGAAAGGAUGCAAGAAGAACUUGGAAAGGCUGAAAUUUCAGAUUUUUACAUACAUUGAAUUCUUUUAAAAUCUUCUGUCCAUUUGGUCAUAUUGCCAAGUUUGAAGAAAAAAGUCUGCCCUGGCAGGACCCUGGGCCAGAAGAAAUGGUGCUACUCACAGUGGCCCUUGGACACAGGGCUACUGGAAGUGUGCCCAGCACACCCUGCAGCCAUCCUCCCUGGGGGCCUUGUUGCCUCAGCUCCACGAGGCAGUGGGAAUGGAGCCGGCCCCGCACUCUCUCUGGGACAAGCAGAGGUACGGCCAUCACCAGCCGGCCCCAGCCCGCUCUGCCAGGUGGUCCCUAAAGCCCUUCUGCCCACUGUCCCCAGCACCAUAGGUGUGGAUGCUCAUGGGCCCGGGGACUUCCUUCCCCGCCAGAGACCUGCUCCCCCACCCUCCCACCCCCAACCAGAACACGAGGGCCUGGGAAGCAGGGGUUCUGUGUGCAAACUCCUCCUUGGCUGCCCCAGGGUCCAGACCAGGCUCAGACCAGGGCCUUGGUGGAUUCGCUGAUUGUCCAAGUGGCCCCAGGGUCCAUUUCUCAGGCCCUGACUUGUAAGAUGCUCGAAUUCCAGAAAGUCUGCCGGGGAGUCAGCUGUUCGUAGCUCAGAUUGUACAGCUCUUUCCUGCAGAGCCAAAGCCAUCAGUGGUCAUGGGCCUGUCUGGUUCUACCUCGGAGGCUGCUAUCAUAGUCUAGCUUUUGCUGAGCCAUGGCACCAAAGCCCAAACCUGCGCCUGGGGGGUGUGGAGCGUGAGUGGGAUAAGGGAGACAGGACUGCAGUGGGUCCACUUUGUUUUUUGGUGCUGGAAGGGAGUUUGGCCAAUUUAGCUCUCAUGUGUGUGUCUAAGGGAAGGGGAAAUUUGUUGAAAUCAACAAAUCUGGAAACUGUGACACUUGGCUUCGCUAAGUGCAACUGCUGGGCUGCAUGCAGCGUGCCGUGUGACCAGCUGCUCCUAGGUGGCCAGCAGGUGCCCACGGCCCCAGAGCGAGGGUUUCCUGGAGGUUGGCCCUGCCUCGGCGUCUCUUCCCACACCGUCUACUGUUCUGUUGGCCAGGCUGGAUGGGGCAGGAAGGAUUCAUAUGUUACCCUGAAGCUCAGGUCCAGGGUCCUCAGAGAUAUGCUAAGUGAAAUAAGUCAGAAAGAGAAAGAUAAGUACUGUAUGCUAUCACUUAUAUGUGGAAUCUAAGAAAUGCAACAAACUAGUGGAAAUAACAAAAAAGAAGCAGACUCACAGAUACAGAGAAUACACUAGAGGUUACCAUUGGGGGAGAGGUGGGGGGAGGGGCAACAUGGGGGAGGGGAAUAAGAGGUAUAAACUAUUAGGUAUCAAAUAAGCUGCAAGAAUGUAUUGUACAACACGGGAAAUACAGCCAAUGUUUUAUCAUAACUAUAAAUGGCAUAUAACCUUUAAAAACUGGGAGUCACUAUACGGUACACCUGUAACUUUUAUAAUAUUGUACAGCAGCUCUACUUCAAUUACAAUUUAACAAAUAAAGGCACUAGGGUGAUGGGGACCCUGUUGUCCAUCUCUGCGUCUGUCGAGACCAGGGCUGGGCAAUCAGACCAGAGCUCAUAGCUGGAGGAUGGAACGGGUCAUUUACCUCUUUAAGAAAGCGCGCUUGGCUAGUUGUACCCUUUGUGGGGGAUAAAUACCAAUCCCCACGCGAGGCCAGGCCUAUCCUGAGCUCACACGCCGGCUCACUCUCAGAAGCUCCAUGAGAAACACCUGCUCUGUGCUCCGAUACCGUGGGGCUGGGACUCCCCAGGCCCCCAGGGGAGACAGGCUGGACUGGCGCCUGACCCAUGGGCUGUGUGAGGACCUGGUCCCUGACUGGGCAGGAGGGUGGUUUUGUUGGGAGACUGUUUUUGGACUUGCUCUAAUGAGCAGUUGUGUACAAUCAGGGCUUAACUGAGUGCUCUGCCGGCCACAUGCUCUUUGAGCUUUAGCGCAAGUCUGGUCCAUGUUCACGGAACCCUUUCUAUGGGACAGACGUUGUGCUGGGCUCUGGGAAUGUUAGAAUGGACGGCACAGCAUUUCUGCCUUUAGGGGGAGACAUCC
ensembl:lncRNA